AACCUGCCCAAGAGACUGGGAUAACACCUGGAAACAGAUGCUAAUACCGGAUAACAACACUAGACGCAUGUCUAGAGUUUAAAAGAUGGUUCUGCUAUCACUCUUGGAUGGACCUGCGGUGCAUUAGCUAGUUGGUAAGGUAACGGCUUACCAAGGCAAUGAUGCAUAGCCGAGUUGAGAGACUGAUCGGCCACAUUGGGACUGAGACACGGCCCAAACUCCUACGGGAGGCAGCAGUAGGGAAUCUUCCACAAUGGACGCAAGUCUGAUGGAGCAACGCCGCGUGAGUGAAGAAGGGUUUCGGCUCGUAAAGCUCUGUUGGUAGUGAAGAAAGAUAGAGGUAGUAACUGGCCUUUAUUUGACGGUAAUUACUUAGAAAGUCACGGCUAACUACGUGCCAGCAGCCGCGGUAAUACGUAGGUGGCAAGCGUUGUCCGGAUUUAUUGGGCGUAAAGCGAGUGCAGGCGGUUCAAUAAGUCUGAUGUGAAAGCCUUCGGCUCAACCGGAGAAUUGCAUCAGAAACUGUUGAACUUGAGUGCAGAAGAGGAGAGUGGAACUCCAUGUGUAGCGGUGGAAUGCGUAGAUAUAUGGAAGAACACCAGUGGCGAAGGCGGCUCUCUGGUCUGCAACUGACGCUGAGGCUCGAAAGCAUGGGUAGCGAACAGGAUUAGAUACCCUGGUAGUCCAUGCCGUAAACGAUGAGUGCUAAGUGUUGGGAGGUUUCCGCCUCUCAGUGCUGCAGCUAACGCAUUAAGCACUCCGCCUGGGGAGUACGACCGCAAGGUUGAAACUCAAAGGAAUUGACGGGGGCCCGCACAAGCGGUGGA
rnacentral:rRNA from 1 species